rnacentral:lncRNA from 12 species
AAUGGACAGAGUUACAACAGAGAAUGAAUGCAUUUGAUGCUCAAGUCAGCAAACAGAAGGAAGAAUAUCUAACAAAACAAAAGGAAAUAGAAGAAGAAAGAAAAGGUCUAGAAGAGACCAAAGUCAAGAUUCAAAAGCUGAAAACUAAAGCUGAGCAGGAACAUCAAGACAUAUGCCUAAAAAUGCAAGAGUUGUGCACACUGCAAGAACAUAUUAAGAAAGAAGAAGAGAAAGAAGAAGAAAGGAUGGUAAAAGAAAAGAUGGAGAGAGAAGAAUUUGGUCAGAUAAAGAGUGAACUGGAAAGAGAGAAAACUAAAAUAGAUCAUGAGCAGAAGAAAAUUAAUGAUGCCAAAAAGAUCAUUGAACAGAAAAGAUGGAGAGAGAGGAACUUGAUCAACUGAUGGCCAAGAUAUUGAUAGAACAAAAAGAAACUGAUAGGAGCAAGGAUAUGAUAGACCAUCUAAAGAAGGAAAUGGAGCAAACAAAAGCCGAACUCAAUGCUCAAAAAGAGCAAAUCAAACUGGAAUUGCAAAUAGUGCAAGAUGAGAGGCAAGAUCUGGAACAGUCCAAGGCUGAAAUCAAGAGACAGACUGAUGAAACAGAGAUCAUGAAAGAGCAGACACAACAGUUAGAAAAAGAGAAAGAUGUGUCUGAAACAUUAAAAGAAGAACAUCUAUCUGGACAGCUUCUUCAACAGAAGAGAGAAGAAAUGGCCUCUCAAGGAAAACAGAUACAGAUAGAUGAAGCCAACAGACUCUUGUCUGAGAUUCAAAGGGAAAGGGAAGCACUUGAAAGAAACAAAAAAAUCCUUGAACAUCAGAGAGAGGCACUGGACGAGAUGAAGAGAAAACAACCAACACAGAGGCUGGAAUUAAUUUUGGUUAGUUCUGCUACACAAACAUCUGAUCUAGACAACAUUCCUGUAGGUGACAUUUCAGCACCUCAGGAACAGAUUGUUGAGGAACACACAGGCAUUCCUAAGGAAUAUACAACUUUCAUGACAAAAGGGACGGAAGACGAAUUAGGGAUUAUGAGAGAUCAGGAGGACACAGAGCUCAAAAUGAGAAGUGAAGAAACCAAAAUGGACUCGAGCCAAGAAGACACUGCACUGGCAAAAGAAUAUAAAGAUAUACCUGAUCCAUCCAUGACAGUAAAGUUGGAGUUCAAUAAAGAUGAAGUCGAUGGCCUUACUGAAAUGUUGAUGACGGAGAAAAGGGAACUAGAAAAGACAAGACUUGUUUUACAGAGAGACCAGAAAGAGAUUGAGACAAUGAGACAACACACUGACAGAGAGAGGAAGAAGCUGGAGAAACAAUAUGAAGAGAUGGAGUUAUGCAGACAGAAUAUGGAAAAUGAAAGAUCUGAGUUAGAAAUGACUCAAGAUCAAAUUAAGAUGGACAUGGAAAAAAUUCUAAUGGAGAUCAAGAGCAAACAGGAGAAAAUAGAAAACAUGGAAUUUCAACUACAAAAAAAGAAGAGAGAAAUGGAAACCAUCUCUGCUGAGAUGAAACAGAGACAAGAGGAGUUGGACUUCAUAAAUACAGAGCUAAAACGAAAGAGACAAGAGAUGGUGGACACCAAAGAAAUGGAGGAACACGAGUUAACUGAAAUACUUCCAGAGAGAGAGGAGUAUAUAAAAAGACACCUGGAGGAAAUACAGAACCAAAAGGAAGCAUUAAGAAAGGAGAGGGAUGAAGUUGAAAAAAUACUCACUGGGCUGCAGAAGGAGCAAAUGGAAAUGGAGAUGCGUCAGGCAAUGCUGAACUCAGAAAGAAAUGAACUGAACAGAAUGAGAAUCGAUCUGGAGACACAUAAAGAGGAGUUUAGGCUUAUGAAACAAAACACAGAGACAGAAAGAGACAAGCUGGAAUCAAGGUUAAGGAGAGCAGAGGACAUAGAAAGACUUUUGGAUGAUGUACUGAAAGAAAAGGAAAGGGUAGAAGAAAUGGCAGCUCAACUUUUCAAAGAACAGGAAGAGUUUAAAAUUAUUAUGACUGAGGCGAAUAAAAGGAUAAACAAGAUUAAACAGAUUGAGGAGGAAAUGAAAACAAAGCAAGAAGAAAUGGAGCACACUGAAGAACUGAGACAAAAAGAGCUUCAUCAAAGGAGAGCAGAAUUUGAAAAAAUGAAGACUGAAAUUGACAAUGAAAGAGAAGAAAUUCAGAAGAUACAAAGGGAAUGUGAGAGAGAAAAACAUGAACUGGAGCAAAUAAAAACAGAUUUGCAGAAAGAGGAACCACAGAAAACCAAUGCAGAAGUGCAAUAUGAUGAAACUCACAGUGUUAUGCACACAUUAAAAGAAGAGAAAGAUGAAAUAGAAAGGAUGAAAGCCGACCUCCAGAAUGAGCAGAGAGAAAUUGAAAACAUGAUGGACAUUAUAACAAGAGAGAAGGGUGAGCUGGAAAAGAAGAAAGCUGAAAUGCAGCAAAUGGCUGCAGAAAUAAGGGACACGGACAGUGAUAAGAACUUACAAGAUAAAAUUAUCCAGAUUGAAGCAAUCCUCAAUGAAACCAAGAGACAGAAGGAUGACCUGGAACAGAUGAAUGACAAUUUGAACAGAGAAAAAUCAGAAUUGAAAAGCACUUGUCAGUUUCUAGAAAAAGAAAAGAGAGAAGCAGAAAUGAGAUUACAGGACAUGGUGAAUGAACUGAAUAUUAAGCUUAAGGAAUUAGAAAAUCUACAGUUCAAAACAGAGGAGAGAGAGGCAGAGAAGAAAAAUCUGGAGAAAUUUAAGGAUGAGAUGGCUAAAGAACGUGAAAAAAUUAAAAAGGAAAAUGAAGAUUUAAGAAUGAGAAGAGAAGAGCUGCUGCACAUGAAAGAACAAAUUCAAAAGCAGACAAAAGACCUAGAAGAAAUGAUGAAUGAAGUGACAAUGGAGAAGAGUGAGCUAGAACAAGAGAGGUGUGAAAUAAACAAACACAAACAACAAGUGGAAGACAUUGGGAAAGCUGCAGAAAUAAAGUGGGUUGAGACACAGGUAGCCACUGAAAGGUCCAGACAAGAUGACGAGGACAUGCAAGUCUUAAAAACUGAGAGAAAAAGACUAGCACAUCUGAAUGAUCAAUUGCUGAAAGAGAAAGAGGAAGUUGAAACCACCAAAGAGAGAAUUAAUAGAGAGAUGGAACAUAUUGAAAAGAUGCAAACCCAAUUAAAUGACCAAAAAGAAGAGAUCAAGCUUGAAAAACAAAAAUUAGAAGACAUAAGGACUGAGAUUCAACACGAGACAAAUGCUCUAGAGAAAAUUAUGAAGGACUUACAAAAAGAGAGGGAAAAUCUAAAUGCUUUAGUUAUUCAACAACAAAAAGAAAGAGAAGAUAUGGAUAAACUAGCAGAGGAAAACAAAAGAAGAGAGAAGCAUGCUGAAGUUGAGAUACAGAGACAGUUAGAAGACAUAGAAAAUGUCAAGGUGAGGUUAGCAAAAGAAAGGAAUCAAAUUGAACAGAUGAAUGCAGAAAUACAGACUAAACAUGAAGAGCUAGAGAAAAUAAUCAGAAAACAGCAAGAGGAUUUUGAAAUCAAAGAGAAUGACAUGCAAAGAGAAAGAAAGGCUUUGGAGAAAAUGAAUGCUGAGCUAGAAAGGAAAACCACUGAAAUGGAAAAUAAGAGAGAGAAAGCAGAAGUAAAACAAGAAAAGCAAGAGAUGGAAAACAUUCUGAAAACCAUCAAGAGUGAGUUGGAAGACCUAGAGCAAUUGAGAAAUAAAUCUGAGGAAGAGAAGAAAGAUAUGCUGGACAGACUGUUAACAGAAAAACAUGAAAUGGAUCAAUUAAAAACCGAGUUACAGUUGGAGAAGAAGAGCAUUGAAGAGGAAAAGAAAAUGCUGAAGCAGUUAAUGAACGAAACUGAAAAUAAAAAAUCUCAACUGGACAGCAACAUUGUGCAAAUGAACAAUGACAAACAAAAUAUUCAAAAAGAAAAAGACUCUCUGGAGGAGAUCAAGGCAGAUUUACAAAGAAAGUCUGAAAAUCUUAAUGAGGAAAUCAGGAAAACUUACCGAAUCACCUCUCAAAUCAGUAAAGACCAAGAGAACAUUCCAAAGAGACUGGAUGACAUGAGAAGGAAAGAAGAAGAGCUCAGUACUAUGCGUGCCGACAUCGAAAGGCAGACAAAGCUUCUGCAAUCAGAUCUACUGCAACUUCAGACACAGAAAGAGAACUUAGAGAAGAGCAAAGCAGAGAAUGAGGCUCUAAGAGAAGAUCUCGAAAAGCAAAAAGAAAAAAAUGACUUGACAAUGCAAGAACUGCACAAAGAGAGGCUGACAUUGGAGCAGAAGAUUACUGAUAUAACACAGCUAAGAGAGACAGUGGAAAGCACACAGAAUGAAAUACGACUUAAAGAACAGGAUCUGGAAAACAAAGAAAAAGAACUUGACAUGCAAAGAAAAGAUGUAGAUAACUUAAGAAACAUUGUGAUGGCUGAGAAAAUGCAGCUGGAAAAGAGGCAAAUUGUUAUGAAUCAACAGCAGCAAGAGGUAGAUGGCUUGAUGAAUGAAAACAGAAAGGUGAGAAAUGAUUUAGAGAGCAUGAAAACUCAUCUAGAACAAGACAGACGACAACUACAAGAAAAAAUCAAAACAUUUGAAGAUCAGAAGAAUGUUUUUGAUCAAAUCAAAGUUGAUGCAAAGCAACAGACCGAUGAGCUUGAGAAAAUCACAGCAGAUCCUCUUGGAAAGGAAAGAGAGGAGACUGAUGCUUUGAAGAAAGAAAUCCAGAGAAAGAAAGAUGAACUGCAAAGCUUAAAUUUUGAAAUUGAAAGGUCCAAGCAAGAAAUGGCAGAAAACAGAGAACAGUUUGAAAAAGAGAUGGAAAAAUUAACUCAGAAAAGAGCAGAUUUACUGACAGAAAUUGAUCAGCAAGCCAAGACCCAAAUAAAGAAGAAAGAUGUAAAAACAGCAGUGGAGAGUGAAACACAGAUCCAAGCUGCUUUACAAAAGGUCAAGGAGGACACUGAAGAAGAAAAGACAGAUGCUGAAUUGCAGGCUGAUCUCCAGAAACAGAUGGAUGAACUAGAAGAACUGAGGAACACAAUUGAGGUGGAAAAAAAUCAGAUCGAAAAGAAAAAGCUCACAUUAGAUCAACAGCAGCAGGAAUUAGAAGACAUCAUGGUGGUCAUCAAACGAGAGAGAGAUGUGCUUCAGAAAGAGAAGUCUGAACUUGAUGAACACAGACAUAUGCUCAAUAAAAAUAUCCAGACAAAACAAGAAGAGCUUGAAAAGCUUAAUAAUGACAUUCAAAGGGACAAAAAGGAGAUUGAAAACAGCAAAAAGAUAAAUGAAAGUGAAAAAUAUCGUAUCGAAAAGGAGAGAGCUGAUUUAAACAGACUGAAGAAAGAGGCUGAAGACAGCAAACAAAGCAUACAACAUGAGAGAACUUUGCUGCAACAAGAUAAAGACAUGAUGCAGAAAGAAAAAGAGGACAUGGAAGGCAUUAUAGAAGAAAAGACAAGAACAAUGGAGGACCUGCAAAAGCAAAUAAACAGACAAUUAUCUGAACUGGAGAUGUUAAACAUGGAGAUUCAAAUAAAGAGACAGAAAGUAGAAAUGCAUCGCUUACCAGAAGAGAUGAAAACAAAAGAUCACUCAAAGAGGGAUGCUGAUGUCCUAAGAGAGGAUGUAGAAGUAAAGAAACAAAAAACAGAUGAACUUGAGAUAUAUCAGAUGAAGACCACCUCAGUAGAUGCUGAAACACAAACAUCUUUGGAUGACUUUAAGAAAACAGAUGAUGGUAGACAAAAGGAAUUAGAAGACGAAACGGCUGCAACAAAGAAAAAACAACCCACUGUGGCCAAGUCAAAAGACACGCACCCAUCUGAAGUGCAAGAAAUAAUGGACUCUUUAAACAAAGAAAUUGAAGAUUUGGAGAGAAUGAAGACAAUGAUGAAAAAAGAGAGACAUGAACUGGAACAAGCAAAAAAAGACUUUGAGAGAAAUAUGAAGGAAGUCAUGAAGGAGAAGUCAAGAAAUGAAGAAAAACUGCUACAACUUACACAAGACAAGGAGGAUUUAUCAAACAACCUUGAGAAGAAAAAUAAGGAAAUAGAGAGCAUCACAGAAGCAUUCGUGAUAAAGUUGGGACAACUGGAAGAGACUAUAGGGUCACUGAAAGAAGAGAAGGAAAACAUUGAAAAUGAGUUGCUUCAACAAAAGCAAAAUGAACAGGAGACACUAAAAAUCAAGGGAAAAACAGAUGAUACUUCCGUUAAAAGUGACAGGGAUGCUGAGAAAGUCACAUACAAAAAAGCAUUGGAACAAGUACAAGACACUAAAGAGGAGAAAAAGACAGACAGAGACAGCAGUCUGGAACUGACUGAGAUUCAUUGGGCCAAAACAGAUGGAGAAACAAAAGCAAAAAUCUACAAAACUGACACCCAAAGAGAAGUUCUUCAGCUAAUGGAUGGCACAACCCUAGAACGAGAUGAGCUAAACAUCAUGAGAGCUGAACUACAGAGGCAACAUGACGAAAUGGAGAAUAAAAUGAAGAUCAUACAAACUGGCCUUCUUGAGAUGGAGAAGGCAAAGGAUCACCUGCAUAAAUUGAGGGAUGAAUGUAAAACCGCUGAAGAAGAAAAGUCAGUGAUCAUGGAGAGUCUCGAGAGGAGGAGGAACAGCCUGGAGAAGGUUCAAGCUGAGGUACUGAGACUUACCAAGGAGAUUGAUUAUCUCACACAAAGCUAUGAAUGCAAAAGAAGAGAACUGCAACAAAUUGAGACUGACAUACAAAGACAGACAAGGACUGAGGAGACUCAACAGGAAACUAAUAUUCAGAGUGAACAAGAAGAUCAAGAAGUAAUAGCAACUACAAAAUCCAUUCAAGAACAUACAGAGGAUGUUAAGCAGAAGAGAACUCAAGAGACACAAACUGAAGACCAGGAAAGAGAUGCUCUACCACAGUAUGAAGAGAUAGAUGCAAUGAAAAGGAGAAUACAGGAAAUGAAAGAUGAACUAAAGAACAGAUUACAAGACAUACAGAGGAAGGAACUGGAAAGACUGGGAAUGCAAAGAGAACAAAUCGAGUUGGAGCUACGGAAAGCUGAAAUGGAAAGAUAUAAUGAAGCCCUCCAGCAUGAGAGGGAAACUGACAGACUCAUGCUCAUAGAAAAGGAAAAGGAAAUACUUCUGUUAAGGGAGUGUAUGCUGAUUGAGAUCAAUCGACUGAAGAGCGAAGAAACAGAAACAAGUAGUCAGCACUUGGAGAUUAUGGAGCGCCUCAUUAGUGAUGCAGCUCUAAGAGUGGACAGAUUCAGACGGGUGACGGACAGAGCCGUGCAAACGCUGAUGCUGGAAGGAGAUGGAGAGCAGAUUGGAGGAGCUCAAAGAGUGACGACUGAACAGAUGGAAAUAGUCGGUGGAAGGAUGGAGAUUUCUGUGCAUGCCCUGAGUGAAGAGAGGGAGGAAGGAGCGAGAGGAGAAUCCCAGAGAGGAGGCAUAGUCGGGCCAACUUCACGGAGAUUGCGGCUACUGCACUGGAUCAGACGGUGCUGCAGUUGCUGCUGUCCCAGAGACACUGUGGAGGAAACUGAGGACAUUUUAUAAACACAGGUCUUGUUCAUUAAGAAGAGAAGCCUUUCCUAAACAAAUACAAUCCAUGCAUUAUCAGUAUUUGUAUGUAUAUAUUUAUAAGUAACAUUUGGUGGGAGGAAACCACCCACAGCAUUUUAGUAGAAAAAAAAAAAAAAAAAAAAAAAAAAAAAAAAAAAAAAAAACACGUAAUACUGGAUAACAUAAGUACUUAGUAAUAUAAUUACAGAUUAUUUGCAUAGUACCAAAUGUUUAAUGUUUAUCACAGUUUAUAUAGUCCAAUAAAUCAGUUUUGCAUUUUUAAAUCACAACACAGAUGCUUGCAUAAGCCAGAAUGAAUCUUUCAUGAUUACAUACAGUACAUCUAUGCAAUUAACUUCUCAAAUAACUCAUUAGCAUAAUGUGUGUGUGUAUGUAUGCAUCUUUUGUUUUCACCAAUGUGUCAGUAAAACACUCUGGGUCAAAUGAUCCUAAAAUUAUCUGUUUUGAUUUCUCAUGACAAAUUGAUAUAAUUAGCUUGUGUUGUGUGUUUGGGUUCUUACACUUAAUCCUAAAUCUUUUGUUAAUGCUAAUUGGCAACUUUGGAAAUUUCUGCACAAUUAUCUGUGAAAAGCAAAGCUCACCUGUAAUGUUAAAAGGUAAUAUAUGCACAUUCCUUUGGGGAUGAGAAGAGUGCAGAUGAAUGUGAGAGGAUGGAUAUCCUAUUCAUGAGUGCUCGAGGUCGUGUUUGUUGCAUUCACAUCCUUGCAGCUCUGCAUGACAGGAGUGUUGCAGAUGUGCCCUAUAUAACACAGAUGGAUUUCACAAGGAUCCACAGUAUGUCUAAGAGUGAAUUACACUGGUAGGAUAAUUACAGAGGCGAUAUAAUUACCAACUGAACAAAAGGAGAGCUUUGUUCAUUUUAACCCAGUUUAAAAAUGAUGCAAUGGAUUUUUAGAUGAUAACACCAACAGGUUCAUUAAGAGGAUCAAACACCCAUGAGUUCCAAAACAAUUAUAUUCCAAUGUAAUAAGUAUAUGCCAGACUCAUGUACACACACACACAACAUAUUGUUUUUAAUGUAUUGCUUGAAUUUGUCUCACACACAAACAUAUUAUUUGUAAUGUCUUGCUUUGGAAUGAAAUAAACGUAAAUCUAAACCUAAAACUUUUGUAAUGCGUUCAUAUGCAUUCACAGUGAGAUUUGAUUUACUUUGUAUUGCUGUCAUUGUGAUCUAUCUUACCAUAUUCAUCAUUGUGACGACUCAAACCGUGGAAUGUAACGUUAGGCUAGUUGGAAAAACAGAGAAACACAUGCUUAGAAAUAGUGAUUUUCAGAAUAAAUAUUUGUGUUGAAAUUUAACACAAGGUAAUACAGGUUUUAAUUCAGUUUAAUAAAUCCACUGAAGCCUAGGUGAACAAAGUGGGUCGACGGAUGGCUGUGUUUACAACCUCCAACCAUGUAGGCUAACGCAACCACUCUGUUUUUGUCAAAUUUCGCUGCUUUGAUUUGAAAAUCGAAGUAACAACAACAACAACAAUAAUAAUUUAUUAUUAUUAUUAUUAUUAUAUAAGAAUAUAGGCUAAAUGCCUGCACUAUUAGCCUUUUUAUUUCACUAUGGAAAUAAAAACAAAAACGAAAACAAUCGUGAGAAAAUCCAGAGCUUUCCUGUUUUAUUUUAGUAAAAAUUUACAGAUCACAUCAUCGGUGGUUUGUCAUAUUUUUUCCUCAAUCAAUCGGUAAAGCGUUCAAGCAAUCGGUUAAACCUCCGAACGAUUCGUUAAAGAAUCAGAAUCGGUUCUACCGGAUCUUGAGUCAUCAACUCACUGAACUAAGAAAACAAAGCUCGGUCCGGCGACGAGUGCCAGUUGAUAGUUAGCGCGGAUUAUUUUGAGGAUUUUAACGAUGGGUAUUCAUGGGUAAGUUACGCAAAAAAAGCAGUCCACUGCCAUUCAAUUCUUUGAAUGUUAACCACAAACAGCUUUUGCUUGUUUGUACAGCGUUUAUGUUACGUACUCAGCCAACGUGACGUCCUGGGGACCUUUUUUUUGUUAGCUGGGUAUACAGUUUAUAAUGACAGAAAGUUAUUUUAGGGGAUGUUAAAACUUAACAGAAAGGCUUUUGUUUUUCUCCACAAAAAAAAUCCGUUGUCAUAUGUCACUCAGCAGCACGUGUUCAUCGUGCGCGCCCUUUAGUUGUAGAUGUAGGAGAGCAAUAUUAAUGUCAAAUAAAUUUAGAAUAAAUAUGAUUAUUUUAGAAGUUUCAGGCAAGAGGUCAUUUGAUAUUGUUUUUUACGGAAUUGUGGAUUAUAAUUGCAUAUUUUUUUUUAAAGCUGAAUCAAAUUCAAUUAUAAACAGUCACGUUAAAAAAUGUGCAAGAAUAUGGUUUUAUUGGAAAGUUUCUAAACACGUAAAAUACCACGUCGUGUCAGGAACUGGUUCUUUCCAGCGAAGUGAUUAAAAGUCCCUUCAGAAUGAAAGUUUCCAUCCAAACACAAGAGGGCAUCAGAGCUGCAUUCGCAAUACUUCAAAAAUCAGUUUUAGCUGGAAAUCGAUUUUCUUCUGUGAAGAAAAUAAAAUAUAUUUAAAAGAACAGGCCGAUUCGAUCAAGUCGAUCUUCAAGCAGACCUAAACUUUCCAAAUCAUUUAUGUUUAGCUAUUGCAACAUUGUGCUAAAGGCCUAUUUGCUCAUUAUGAUUAACUAAUAUUUUGUCUGUAUUCGCAUAAACCCUGACCUCGCCUUUCUGUGAUAACCUUUCACAGCAAACCGCAACAUAGCGGCUUUAAUUACUUCUGCUCAAAUCACCUCUUUCUAAUUGGCAUUAAAUAUUAAAUUCCCUUUACUGUUGUAAUGCUGCAAAAAAUAGUUUACACAAAUGUGCAAUUGACACACAGCCGAAGAGGUGAGAAGUCAUAAAUACUGAUGUGCCAGAAGUGCUGUGCUGGUUUAAUUAGCCUUACUGAUUAAAAGAAAAACCUAAAACAUAAAUAGAUAUUUCUAUAUUAUAGAGAAUAUAUUAUAGAGAAUUGACUUGGAAAGGAAAUGCAAAAUAUUUGAUUAUUGUGUAUUAGCAUCAUUAAAAGUGGAAUAGAGACAGUGAGCAAUCCAGUGCCAGUUUUGUCUUAAUGAAUGGAGUGACUCAGCUGUGUAGAAGAGGCUCAUUAGCAGACUUCAGUCAGGGUCUUGUGCCUCAGGCCAUAGUCUCUCAUGUACAGCCUCCCCUCUGCUGGAUGAGCCACAUUUGGAUGUGCUGUAAAACCAGGGGAAGCUAUAGAAGAAGAUGUAUGGCCACUAAACCCCAAAUGCGUGAUGGUUAUGCUCCUUCAUGCAGGUCAGUGGAUAAUGUAAUUUUGUGUAAUGAAUCUUAAAUGCAAGGAGGAAGUUCACAUUGCUGUACAUGUACACAAACACCCAGCAUUUGAAAUAAAUCUGCGAUUAUUCCUCAGCAUUUGUUCUUGGAGCAGCUGAAACCUGCCAUAUUUCAUACUGGCACAUGUGACGAGAUGUUUACUGCAAGCAAACUCAAGCAAAGGUCACUUUCUUCCCCUUUACUGCCAAGAGCUGUCACACGCCACAUUCCUGCGCAAACAUCCCAUGCAGAAAAAAAAAAAAAAUACAGCACAGCUCGGUGUCCAGUAGACAACGCCUGUGGAUUGUUUCUAUUUAUUAUGCAAAUGUCAAAACAUAUCACUAAUUGGUUUUAUGCAUGAGUGGCAUCUUUGAAGCAAAUGUCUGGCUGCUGGUUGACACGCACAUAUUUAACAUAAUGGGUUUUCCUAUUGCCGUCUGUCUGUGCAAUCGGUAUAUUGGAUGGAGACUAAAUACACAGGACAUUCAUUUUAACAAGAAGUUAUAUUGUGACUGGCUUGCUAUGGUAUAUGGUAGGCUAUAGGUUAUACUUUGUAUGAGGGAUGAUACCAAUAGUUUUAUACUGUUUUACAGGCAACAUAACAUUAUGAUUGAACCUUAAUUGACAACAUCAGUUCAUAUAUCAAUCCUUAUGAAUAGAGAAGCAUUAAAUGAUGAAUAUCACUUAAAGGGCUUGUUAAACUGUAAUUCAUGGUAACAAAAAAUAACGCUUGUAGUAGUGAGUGAAAUAUACAACGUAUGCAUGUAUGUUAAAUAUUGAUAAUAAAAUCAGCAAACGUGUCAUGAAUGAGAACAUGUAUGCUUUACUCUCUCAGACACUCCAGUGAACGCACUUGCACAUGUGGUCGCCUUUUUAUCCUUUUAUUGUAAGUUUUACCUUCCUAACUUCAACAAACUUUGGAACACACCGAAAUUCUCUGAAAAUCACAAUGAACUUGUGUUUCUGGACUCCUGCAUUUGUAUCCAUAUGAAUGUAAAUCAAUGGAAUGGAAAAUGUCAAUGGCAGAAAAACCGUUUUAAAGGAAGAACCUUUAUACCUCUGCAAAGGAUGUUUUUAAUAAUAUUUCAGCUGUGUUUGUUCAUGCAUUGAAAGUCAGUGGGAUCCAAUGUUGUUUGGACCAAAACGUUCAUCAAAGUAUCUUUUUUCAAAGAGCCAGUAUACCGAGCCAUUAUUUGCAAGACUAUCCUCUCAUUCAGUGCUUAUGUUAUUAAUUUAUGUUGUUGAGUGCUUUAUAGUAGAGACUUUUUCUCUCUCUGUCUCUCUCUCUCUUUGUGGACAUUCUGAAGCAGGUUUUAUUCUCUUCC